rnacentral:lncRNA from 1 species
UUUUGAGUCCAUCAUGCUGAAGUCAGGAGCUCUGGUUCUCUUCCUGGCAGUUGCUGCCAGCCAGUUUCACCAGUACCAGUGUGUGAGGAUUAUUGGUACCGGAAGUGCGGACUUCAGUUCCUGUCCUAUCACGUACUUUGGAUUAAAUCAUACUGUGUUGCAAAUACACUUUGAAGACCCUCUUUUCAAGGUGUGUGCAAAAGACGACAACCCAGACUGCCUGCUUCUGGUGGUUCCAGGAACCGACCGCGCUUCGGUGGAGGUUCUGGGUCAGGGGCCAGGUCUUGGAUCACUCAUCCAAAAAACUUUCCACAACAUCAAGUCUGCUUCACCCUGCACACUUAAAAUCAAACUGCAAGAUUCUGCAGGCAUGACUCAUAACGUCACGUUUGUAUUCCAUAGCAAUCCUGCAACAUCAACACUAUAUAAAUUAUCUGACUGGAAGAACGGAGUGCUCAUAGACUCAAGUGGCUGGUCUGGUUAUAGCAGCUGGUAA